AGCUUGUUGGUGGGGUAAUGGCCUACCAAGGCUAAGACGGCUAGGGGGCGUAAGAGCGCGACCCCCCACAAUGGAACUGAGACACGGUCCAUACUCCUACGGGAGGCAGCAGUGAGGAAUAUUGCGCAAUGGGGGCAACCCUGACGCAGCAACGCCGCGUGGACGAUGAAGGCCUUCGGGUUGUAAAGUCCUUUUCUGAGGGACGAUAAUGACGGUACCUCAGGAAUAAGUCCCGGCUAACUACGUGCCAGCAGCCGCGGUAAAACGUAGGGGGCGAGCGUUAUCCGGAUUUAUUGGGCGUAAAGCGCACGUAGGCGGCGCCGUAAGUUGGACGUGAAAGCUCUUGGCUCAACUGGGAGAGGUCGUUCAAUACUGCGGUGCUCGAGGUUGGAAGAGGAGAGUGGAAUUCCCGGUGUAGUGGUGGAUUGCGUAGAUACCGGGAGGAACACCAGUGGCGAAGGCGGCUCUCUGGUCCACACCUGACGCUGAGGUGCGAAAGCGUGGGUAGCGAACGGGAUUAGAUACCCCGGUAGUCCACGCCGUAAACGAUGGAUACUAGGUGUAGGAGGUCAUUUACCCCUUCUGUGCCGUAGCUAACGCGUUAAGUAUCCCGCCUGGGGACUACGGCCGCAAGGCUAAAACUCAAGAAUUGACGGGGGCCCGCACAAGCAGCGGAGCGUGUGGUUUAAUUCGAUGAUACGCGAAGAACCUUACCUGGGCUUGACAUGUUGGUAGUAGUGAAGCGAAAGCGGAACGACCCUUCGGGGAGCCAUCACAGGUGCUGCAUGGCUGUCGUCAGCUCGUGUCGUGAGAUGUUGGGUUAAGUCCCGCAACGAGCGCAACCCUCGUCGUUAGUUACAAGUGUCUAACGAGACUGCCGGUAUCAAACCGGAGGAAGGUGGGGAUGACGUCAAGUCAGCAUGGUCUUUAUGUCCAGGGCUACACACACGCUACAAUGGCCGGUACAAUAGGUUGCCACACCGCGAGGUGGAGCUAAUCCUCAAAGCCGGUCUCAGUUCGGAUUGCAGUCUGCAACUCGACUGCAUGAAGGCGGAGUUGCUAGUAACCGCGCGUCAGCAAUAGUGCGGUGAAUGCGUUCCCGGGCCUUGUACACACCGCCCGUCACAUCAUGGAAGUCGGUAACACCUGAAGUUGGUGACCAAACCGAAAGGUAGGAGCUGCCUAAGGUGGGACCGGUAACUGGGAUGAAGUCGUAACAAGGUAGCUGUAGCGGAAGCUGCGGCUG
rnacentral:rRNA from 1 species